rnacentral:rRNA from 1 species
GUCGUAACAAGGUUUCCGUAGGUGAACCUGCGGAAGGAUCAUUCACACGCAUAUCCAAUUCUUCACUGUGAACCGCUAGUGUUGACGAACUUUUGGUGGUGAAUAACCCCUUGAGUUCGUCGCGAAGGUCGGGUGGGGGUCUGGCGAGAGAGCAUCUGCUCUCCAGCUUCGAACCUCAUUCGGUCGCCCUUUCUUCAACACCAUUUACACUUGUCUUAAACCCUUUGUUUGAAACAUUGUCUCUACAACUUUCAGCAAGGGAUGUCUCGGCUCGCAUAUCGAGGAAGAGCGCAGCAAAGUGUGAUAAGCAUUGUGAAUUGCAAAAUUCCGCGAAUCACGAGAAUCUUGAAUGUGCAUUGCGCUUUCGGGGUAUCCCUGAAAGCAUGCCUGCUUCAGUGUCUAAUCAACUCAUGCCGAACGCUUCGCGUCAUGCGAUGUCUCGGUGUUUUCAUGUCGUCUGCUGACACACCACGCAUUUCUAUUGUGCGGUAGUUGUUUCAGACGCAUGCUUUGUAUUGUGCUGAAUCCAUUGGGUCAGCUCAUCUUGAUGAAUUUCGAGCUUGCAGCUGUCGCCCUUUGGAGGAAGAGCAAUUUCAUUUUCUUGCGUUGGGCAUGGGGAAGUCUCUCUUUCUCUCGUCCUUCUGCUCCAAGACAUGAAGUUAGGUAAGCAAUCCCGCUGAAUUUAAGCAUAUAAGUAAGCGGAGGAAAAGAAACUAACUAGGAUUCCCUUAGUAAUGGCGAAUGAACAGGGAAGAGCUCAACAUGAAAAUCGGGCCCUGUGGCCUUGAAUUGUAGUCUUGAGACGCAUUACCAUUGGUGGCGCAGGCAUAAGCCUCUUGGAAAAGAGCACCAGCGAGGGUGAGAGUCCCUUGUGUUGUCUGCAGUCCUCCAUAUACGGCACGCAGUCUGAGAGUCACGCUCCUCGGGAUUGGAGCGCAAAGUGGGUGGUAAAUUUCAUCCAAAGCUAAAUAAGUAUGCGAGACCAAUAGCAAACAAGUACCAUGAGGGAAAGAUGAAAAGGACUUUGGAAAGAGAGUUAAAAGUGUCUGAAAUUGCUGAAAAGGAAGCGCAUGGUACCAGUGCAGUUUGGCGAGAUUGUUGCUCGGUUGGGGGACGCUCUGCUGUCGAAGCGCAAGCUCGGCAGUGGUUUGAGAACCCAUCUUGCGCGAUGCUUCUCGCCUUACAUGUCAGCCACAGCGCUGUAACGAAGAGAACUCCAGGGACAAGCAGGCAUUCCUUCGGGGAUUCUAAUGUCCUUGGCAGCAUUCGUGACAGUGUUGAUCGGCUGACUAAAUGGUGCCAUGCGACCCGUCUUGAAGCACGGACCAAGGAGUCUAUCAUGUGUGCGAGUACAUGGGUGUUCAAACCUAUGUGCGCAAUGAAAGUGACUGCUGGGAUAUUUGCACCAGCAUCCGACCGAGCGAUUGAGUGAGGUUUGAGUAUGAGCACAGAUGCUAGGACCCGAAAGAUGGUGAACUAUGCGUGA